rnacentral:rRNA from 1 species
UACAGAGGGUGCGAGCGUUGUUCGGAAUUACUGGGCGUAAAGCGCGUGUAGGCGGCCAGAUAAGUCCGCUGUGAAAUCUCGAGGCUCAACCUCGAGCUGUCGGUGGAAACUGUCUGGCUAGAGUCCGGAAGAGGAGAAUGGAAUUCCUGGUGUAGCGGUGAAAUGCGCAGAUAUCAGGAAGAACACCCGUGGCGAAGGCGGUUCUCUGGGACGGUACUGACGCUGAGACGCGAAAGCGUGGGGAGCGAACAGG